rnacentral:rRNA from 1 species
UUGGUGACCAGCGGAGGGAUCAU